rnacentral:rRNA from 1 species
CCUACGGGAGGCAGCAGUGAGGAAUAUUGGUCAAUGGACGAGAGUCUGAACCAGCCAAGUAGCGUGAAGGAUGACUGCCCUAUGGGUUGUAAACUUCUUUUAUAUGGGAAUAAAAUGUUCCACGUGUGGGAUUUUGUAUGUACCAUAUGAAUAAGGAUCGGCUAACUCCGUGCCAGCAGCCGCGGUAAUACGGAGGAUCCGAGCGUUAUCCGGAUUUAUUGGGUUUAAAGGGAGAGUAGGUGGAUUGUUAAGUCAGUUGUGAAAGUUUGCGGCUCAAACGUAAAAUUGCAGUUGAAACUGGCAGUCGUGAGUACAGUAGAGGUGGGCGGAAUUCGUGGUGUAUCGGUGAAAUGCUUAGAUAUCACGAAGAACUCCGAUUGCGAAGGCAGCUCACUGGACUGAAACUGACACUGAGGCUCGAAAGUGUGGGUAUCAAACAGGAUUAGAUACCCGAGUAGUC